rnacentral:rRNA from 1 species
UACGAAGGGUGCAAGCGUUAAUCGGAAUCACUGGGCGUAAAGGGUGCGUAGGCGGGUCUUUAAGUCAGGGGUGAAAUCCUGGAGCUCAACUCCAGAACUGCCUUUGAUACUGAGGAUCUUGAGUUCGGGAGAGGUGAGUGGAACUGCGAGUGUAGAGGUGAAAUUCGUAGAUAUUCGCAAGAACACCAGUGGCGAAGGCGGCUCACUGGCCCGAUACUGACGCUGAGGCACGAAAGCGUGGGGAGCAAACAGG